CUCAGAUUUCUUGUGAUGCCUUAUAGGUUUCAUUGGAUAACUGAAGGCAUUGCAAGUAGUGGAUGGUUAUUGUGAAUAACCAUCAACAGCUUUCAAUGCCUUUUGUUCUCCAAUGAAUUAUAUAAGUCAUGAAGCAAGCAGCUGGAACAUAUCUGAG